GAUUUGUACCCUGUUGAGUAAUCUUCCCAUUGUCAGGAUCGCUCCAGGAUCGAAACGCGAUGGCAUACCAAUCGCCCGGCGCGGGUGCGUGUAUCCUAAUCUCGUACUCGUCGCCGUUGCUCUCCAUGUUCAAUGCGUAAUACCGACGUCUACCUUGCAUCAGUUUCGCGGCUAUUUUCGAGCCGUCGGGUCGCACGAACGGUAAACUGCCUGACUUCAAGAACAACGAGACGUUCCUCGGCGAGCAUCUACCUAUUCCGCCAGUUUUCUCUUCUUCGACAGUGAACCUGAAACGCGUCGCUUAAUUAGAGCAAGUAUAAGUCAGUUUAUCCUACGGGUGAAACGGCGCGCUUACCUGAACGCCGCAGCGACCGUGCAGUCCGGCACGUUGAAGUGGAUGAUCGAGAUGUGACGGUAAGCGUAAUAAUCGUCGAGAACGACGUUCAGCCGUUGCGCGACCCGCUCGAGUUUGCCGCAUAGCGUUUGCUCUUUCGUAAGGAUCCAUGCCAAUGAGAAGGCUAGCACGAUGUGUCGCAUAUUAUAAUUCCUGCGAUCCGCCACAUAACAAGAUACCUCUUUUGUCCGUUAGAUGAAUCCUUCCGCUUUGCUAUCCUGCACAGAAAGCACAGUAUUGUCACCAUUAAGGAUAUGGCCUUGGAACAAUCGGUCGUUAACAGCUUGGAACACAAGGUUUCUUAACGAAUCUCCGUCUUAAUCGUUUACGUUAAAAAGUAUACAUUAAAAUUGUAUACGUUACUAGGUUAUGUCCGGUGGAUUCGAGUGGACCUAGUUCUUUUAUUAAGGCUUAAGGUACUGUAUUCCGGAGAAGCGAUCAGCAUCUUCUUUAUAGAGCCGUUAUCAGAAUUGAUGAUUCACCGUGGCACGCUUCUUUACAUGUAAUUGGCCCCCAAGAUAAGUUAAAUGGAGGAGACGGCGACGACAAUGAGGAAGUAUCCCAAUUUGCGGUAAUUCGCGGCCAGGAAAUUAGGAAAGAGGAGCCUACAUCUUCGUCUCGCGUCUGGACGGGUUCCGUGCCUAGACGUGCAACAA